rnacentral:rRNA from 1 species
UGCCUAUACCGGGCCGCCGGUCGGCAGUGCGAAACGUGAGCAGGGCGCAGAGCCCGAGUCACGCUGAGGCCCCGGUGAGUAGGGGGGUCGCGACGGUGAGCGUUGAAGGGUUGUGGGCGCGAGCCUGCCUGGAGCCGCCGUCGGUGCAGAUCUUGGUGGUAGUAGCAAAUACUCCAGAGGGAUCCUGGAGGACUGACGCGGAGAAGGGUUUCAUGUGAACAGUGGUUGGACAUGAGUCAGUCGAUCCUAAGCCGCAGGAGAAAUCCGUCCUAGUGUACAGGUGUGAUCUAAAUGUACGGAAAAAAAGCAGCACGUUGAUUCGAGACGGGGAGGUUUUAGUCGGUUGAAAAAUCGACGACGGCCGGUUAUCCUCGUCUCGAUUUCUUCGAUGUUGUUUUUUCUUCCUUCAAUAUAACAGAGGCACCGCUGGGUCAAGGCGAAAGGGAAUCCGGUCCUAAUUCCGGAACCGAGCUGCGGCUACGUCCGAUCGAAACGAACUAAACCCUCGUUUUAUCGGUCGCGGUAACGCGACACAAACCGGAGAAGCUGUCGAGAACCCCGGGAAGAGUUUUCUUUUCUGCUUGAGGGACCGAGACCCUGGAAUUCCGUCGCGGAGCGAGAGGGUUACGGAUGCACGCUGUUAAAAAGGCGAUCCCGAAGAGCGGCGCGUUUCCGCGCCGUCCGUGGUCGUUCUCGACUGGCCCUUGAAAAUCCGGCGGGAGGGUUACGUUUUUGGACGCUCGCGCUCGCUCGUACCGAUAUCCGCAUCAGGUCUCCUAGGUGAACAGCCUCUAGUCGAUAGACGAAUGUAGGUAA